rnacentral:rRNA from 1 species
GGCUGUAACUAUAACGGUCCUAAGGUAGCAAAUUUCCUUGUCGUCUUAAUAACGACCUGCAUGAAACAUAGAACGAUUCGAUAGCUGUCUUGCACACACAUCAUGGUAAAAUAUUCAUCAGUACAAAUAAUAUGCUGCCUCAGUAAGCAUCUAACUAAAGGACAAAAAGACCCUUUGAAGCUUUAUAGGGAUAAAACUUUAAUUGGGGCGAUAACCUUAUAUAAUCCACCUAAGGUGAACAAAGUGAUACAAGGACCCGACAAGUAAUUUGCCCAACUAAUAAGUGCAAAGAUACAUGUUUUGCUUAAUGGUCCAAUAAGUCUUUCCCAGUACUUAAAUGCUAUCUUAAUGAGCUUUAAAUUAAUCUACCAACACCAAGCUACUCUACGGAUAACAGGCUUAAUUUCCGCAAUACUCAAGGUCACAUUAUCAAGAAAAAUGCACCUCGAUGUCGGCUUAUCAUCACCAAAAUAAGUAGUUAGGUUAUUGGUGGGAGUGCUCAUCCCGUAAAUCGGUACGUGAGCUGGGUUCAAUACGAUGG